UGGUAUGGCACGGCCACCAAGUUCGUGCAUUCUGCAUACCAGGAAACCUGACACGAAGCAACGUAUUGCUGUGAUGGCAGCUAAGUGAGAACGAAUGAGUUUGUCUUCUCUGUACAUUUGUCAAUAUCAUUACACAGGCUUGUUAAGUGCAUUCAAGCGGCUUUAGCAAUGCACUUGCAGCUACAGAGCCAGUAAAGGCAGCCAAUUUCAUCAUCAGAGUUCACUCUGCAAAUCCCACUUUCCAUAAAGGGCAUUGUUUUGUGAUAGCUUAAGGUCAAAACUUGCUCAAUUAAACACUUCUUGGUGUCUGACAUUACAUGAAUUAUGAUAAUUGUUAUAUCUCAUGUGAAAUUAUGCCAUUGUUUUUUUUUCAUAUUCUUACUUUGCAUACACACUUUACGACUGCACCCUCCCCAACCGAAUCUUUACUAGUGCUACAUUCUGUUAUGGGUGAAAACAAUUAUUGACUAAAAACCAGGCCAAGGAAAGCAGUAUGAUGCCCUGUAAUGUAGGAGGAUGCCGCUAUUGCAGUGUUUAGUCUAGAGCUGAAUUUAAUGAGAAAGGGCAGCAAUGUAGGUCAUCUGUGGAUAUUUGCAGACCAUAAUUGUGUUGUGGUCAUUUUGUUAUCGCAGGAAGCAUCUUCAAAAAGCAGUGCUACAAGGAUGUGAGCAGCAGUUUCCCUUCAACGAACAGGUCAAAUUCAUGGAAGCCACGUGCCUGCUGCUUCUGGCCUACACAAUCAUGCAGCCAACAUAGUAAAGUUCUUGCAAAGACAUUCUACACAAACUUGCCCAAAGGCGGAAGGAAGGCACGCACAGAUGGACGCACAGAAAUCAUGGGGCUGCCGUAGAAGCUGUGAAUGAGCAUUAACCUACGUACAGAAAGGAGCGAAGUGGAGCUGUCCAUGGGCCGUGCACACAGUUUCAUAAGCAGGCUUGCAACACUUUUGACAAAUAUGUUCCUGAAUACAUCUGCCAA